AGAAAGAAAUAAUGAAAAUCUUAUGGUAGAUGAAAAAAAAUACAUUCCUUUAUCCUAAAUCAUGAGCCAAUCGGACAAACUUUGUCCUUUCUGCUUCCUAUCAUUUACUUCCUUCCCUUAAUACUAAGUUCUGAAAAAUGUGCGUUAGUCCCCAAAACUACCAUCUCUGAUCACAAGGGAUUUGAAAAAAUCGAGGAUGAAUCCAUAUCCCUCUAAGCUUGAUGCAGUCUUCAGAUUUUUGGCUGCUCUGGAUGCUCUCAUUCCUAAUAAAGCAGUUCAAAUCAUCAAGCUCCACCAGUGUCCCACAAGUAGUAAUCGACACAUUUUCCGUCAAUCCCAACAGUUUCUUCAUCUUAUUCUGUUCAAAAUAAUCCCUACACGGUGAAAAUGGCAGACACCGCUCACUACCCAACCAGCUUCCUCCCUUCUUCGCCCUGACCACCUGGUACCUGGUUCCGCUCUUGUUCUUCACAUUAAACGCUAAAGCCCCAGUACCCGUGUCCAGGUAGUAGAAGUCUCCAUUAUGAUAAGUGGCGCAAGUAAUGGUUUUGAAGUGAUUAAUGUGAUACAUCAACGUAUGCUUGGUCCAUUUUUUGUCUCCACGAUGAAGCAAAUGCAGCUCCAAGUUCAUGGCAUCGCUUCGGCCGAUGACAGAGACGAUGCAGUCUGGAGAAGUGGGUGGAGAUGAGAAGGCGGCGACGUGAUCAGAGAGUUGGGAGUGAGGGAAGUGGGGGAGUGCUAUUUUGGCGGAGGAGAAGGGGCAGAGGAAGAAGAUUGAGCCUGCUUUGAAGAGAAGAAGCCAGCCUUGGUAGGAGGCAAUGCAGGUGGCGCCACUCAUUUCUGGGAUGUCAAGACUCGAUUUGAGCUGAAGCAGUCAAAGAAGCAGCAUACCAGUGUUUGCAGAUUCUGCGGAAGCAGAGAAGCUCGAUUAUGGUUAGGCGGAGGGCGAUUAGGGUCAAGAGGUCUGAAGGAAGAUCAGACCAUGGUCUGGCCUCUUUGCUUCUGUAAAUGCUGAUGCUGACACUCCUAGGUGUAUCUCUGAUUAAAAUGUUUUAUUUCCGUUAGUUCAAGCUUAGAAAGCACUACUUCCAAGGCAGAAAUUUUGAUAGAAAAUGGGGUCCAGUGUGUCCAUUGACAAGUUAAA